UCCCCAACUAAAAACCCUAUAUCGCCUGUUCAAAGUGAAGAAACAACUGAACUGUGUGGUUUAAACUAAUUUCUUUUACUUGUGAGAAAAUGCAUUCACCCAAAAGUCGAGAAGUUUUUCCGAGUACUCGUCUCGGUGAGGCAAACAAGCUUGCAAGGAAGGAAAAGGUUUGGGCAACUCAUAAAAGUUAAUUGGGCAAACACCAGUGGCUGUAUAGCUAUGGUUGGAGCUUGCUUUAUAAGGAAGAAGAAGACACACUCGGUGAGAGAUAGAGAGAGACGUAGGAAAUGUAUACCAAUUUUCAUUACUCAAAAACUUACAGAAUACAAGAACUCCACUUACUUUAUACACUUUAUUCAACACUGUAUUUCUAACAACUUAAUUAACUCCUAACAGUAAUUAACGGCUAAUUAACAACUACUCUA